UACGUAGGGCGCAAGCGUUGUCCGGAAUUAUUGGGCGUAAAGAGCUCGUAGGCGGCUUGUCACGUCGGGUGUGAAAGACCGGGGCUUAACCCCGGUUCUGCAUUCGAUACGGGCUGGCUAGAGUAUGGUAGGGGAGAUCGGAAUUCCUGGUGUAGCGGUGAAAUGCGCAGAUAUCAGGAGGAACACCGGUGGCGAAGGCGGAUCUCUGGGCCAUUACUGACGCUGAGGAGCGAAAGCGUGGGGAGCGAACAGG
rnacentral:rRNA from 1 species